CGCGUAGGUGGUUGUGUAAGUCGGAUGUGAAAGCCCAGGGCUUAACCUUGGAAUUGCAUCCGAUACUGCAUGACUAGAGUAUGGUAGAGGGAAGUGGAAUUUCCGGUGUAGCGGUGAAAUGCGUAGAUAUCGGAAGGAACACCAGUGGCGAAGGCGACUUCCUGGGCCAAUACUGACACUGAGGUGCGAAAGCGUGGGGAGCAAACGA
rnacentral:rRNA from 1 species